GAUGAACGCUGGCGGCGUGCCUAAUACAUGCAAGUCGAGCGCACAGAUAAGGACCUUGCUUCUUUGACGUUAGCGGCUGACGGGUGAGUAACACGUGGGUGACUUAGUUAUAAGACUGGAAUAAGUGCGUGACACCGGGGCUAGUUCCGGAUAACAUUUAGAUCCUCAUUGUUCUAUAGUGAUAGAUUGAUUUGCUCAAACUUAUCGCUAGACCCGGGUCCUAUUAGCUAGUUGGUAGGGUAACGGGUAACCAAGGCAACGAUACGUAGCCGACCUGCGAGGGUGAUCGGCCACACGGGACCUGAGACACGGUCCAGACCCCUACGGGAGGAGGCAGAAGGGAAUCUUGCGAAAUGGGCGAAAGCCUGACGGAGCAACGCGGCGGGAUUGAUGAGGGUCUUCGAAUCGUAAAACUCUGUGAAUAGGGAAGAACAAAGGUGUAAGUAACUGUGCACGUCUUGACGGUACCUAAUCAGAAAGCCACGGCUAACUACGUG
rnacentral:rRNA from 1 species